rnacentral:rRNA from 1 species
AGUGAACGCUGGCGGUAGGCCUAACACAUGCAAGUCGAACGGCAGCACAGUAAGAGCUUGCUCUUACGGGUGGCGAGUGGCGGACGGGUGAGGAAUACAUCGGAAUCUACUUUUUCGUGGGGGAUAACGGAGGGAAACUUACGCUACUACCGCAUACGACCUACGGGUGAAAGCAGGGGAUCUUCGGACCUUGCGCGUUUGAAUGAGCCGAUGUCGGAUUAGCUAGUUGGCGGGGUAAAGGCACACCAAGGCAACGAUCCGUAGCUGGCCUGAGAGGAUGAUCAGCCACACUGGAACUGAGACACGGUCCAGACUCCUACGGGAGGCAGCAGUAGGGAAUAUUGGACAAUGGGCGAAAGCCUGAUCCAGCAAUACCGCGUGGGUGAAGAAGGCCUUCGGGUUGUAAAGCCCUUUUGUUGGGAAAGAAAAGAAGUAGGAGUAACCCCCGCUGUUUUGACGGUACCUAAACAAUAAGCAACGGCUAACUUCGUG